CCCACUCCCUGGUGAGUGGCUCCCUGUGAUGUGGCCAUUCUGCUGUCCCCUGCCCACGCUCCAUGGCUCCCUGUGUCCGAGGGGAAGUGCGUCCCUGGUCAUGGUUUCCACAGAACUGGGCUGUUUGUCUCUGCACUUGUGAACGAUUUCCUGGGCCGUCAGAUCCCUUCAUCUUCCUUCUUCCAUGGCCAGCUGUUAACAACAGCCACAAACAAGCAUCAAACAGAGCAGAAGGAGCAAGCCCAGGGUCCAUCCACGGCCCAAGGAGGGGGCCUUCCUCCAGCUGACCAGCACUCUGUNCUCCCUCCAGGAGUCGGGGGGGGGGGCCUUGAAUUUUCUGUGGUCAUUUAGGCUGCAGUGUGCGCCUCUGGUCAUGGCUUUGCUGGCCUGAGUGGCGAGGCUCACCUGGAGCUCUGUCCUCGGGGCUCACCGGCCCUCCCACAUGCAGGGCUGCCUGCUGAUCACGCGCGGUCAUCUUCCUCCUGAUGACAGAUGCAUGGGUUCCCCGAUAGCUCUCCACUGUCAGCUGGAAGUCAAAGGUUCAGCUUAGCUCUCACACUGUCAGGAGUGAGUUUACACCCCACGGGGCAGGCUCAGACCCACAGGGUGCCCCACUGAGAUACCAGCUGCAGGCCAAGGGACCAACCCGCUCCUGACCAACUGCCUGUGCACCUGGGCUCCCUCGGCUCCCGCCCGGGCCUGGGAAUGUGCUAGAACAACCUGCCUAAUGCAGGAAACCCUGCCAUGCACUGUCUCUUUGUAGAGGACCAGCUCGGACACAGCCAGAGGAAGGGGGUGCACAGGAGGGUGGGGGGACACUGGCACUCAGUGGUCCUCCACACACUCAGCUCCAUGCACCGGGGGCUCUGCUGGCACCCUCCGGGUCUAUGAGAAUUCCUGAGGGUAUGGGCCAGGGCUGGCUCUCCCUCCUCAGAGCUCUGGUCUUUCUAGUCACCCAUUACCAUGACCUUAGGUGUGGUUGUAGAGAUGACAAAGGGACAGCUCUACCCCUCAGGAAUUCCAAGGCAUGGGGAGCUCUGUGCUAGGAACCAGGAGCCAAGGUCCAGGGUGUCUUCAUUGCUGCACACCCAGCGUGGCCUCCUGGCCUAGACUGCCCCUGCUUCCCGUGGCCACCUGUGCCUACGCCUGCAGCUGGCUGCUGCUGUGCCCUCACUCACAGCACCCUGACUGGGUGUCGGAACACUUAAACAGACCACCUUAAAUCGCCAGCCGAGGGAACAAGGGAGACUGGAAGACACAGCACCGCCAAGGGCUAGGAGCCUCGUCACUGACACGGCGCCAGUGCGAGUCACGCAUCGGUGGCAUUGGUGUGCCCACCUGUGACAGAACCCCGGCCGCCCCCACUCCCUGGUGAGUGGCUCCCUGUGAUGCGGCCAUUCUGCUGUCCCCUGCCCACGCUCCAUGGCUCCCUGUGUCCGAGGGGAAGUGCGUCCCUGGUCAUGGUUUCCACAGAACUGGGCUGUUUGUCUCUGCACUUGUGAACGAUUUCCUGGGCCGUCAGAUCCCUUCAUCUUCCUUCUUCCAUGGCCAGCUGUUAACAACAGCCACAAACAAGCAUCAAACAGAGCAGAAGGAGCAAGCCCAGGGUCCAUCCACGGCCCAAGGAGGGGGCCUUCCUCCAGCUGACCAGCACUCUGUCCUCUGCAGACCCGAGUUAGAUUUCUCUUUUGGAUGCAGAAGGCAAGAGCAAUGCUUGUACAUACAAAAUGAGACAGUCCAGACGCUGGGGACCCAGUGCAGGAGAAACCACAGGGUAUGUCCAAAUGUACAUUUCAACACUUUCAAAGAAAGGAGUGUUUCAGGAAGUCACAACACUACAUUUGGCACCUUGGUCAAGUGUCAGACGGCUGUUGGUAUACGGGUCUGUCUCUGUGCCUUCUGUUCUGUUCUGCUGGUCUUCACGUCUGGUUGAACGCCAAUUCCACGCUGUUUUGUUACUACGGCUGCUUGACUGUUUGGGGUCUCUUAUUCUCCCACAUGAAUUUCAGGACUGUUUUUUCAGUUCUGUGCACAUCUUUGGUACCUUGAUGGGUUGCACUGAAUCUGUGCGUUGCUCUUGGUAGUGUGACCAGUUUGUGGUGGAGGAGUAAGUUUACCUUACGUGAGGGUCAGGGUAGGCGGCUUCCUUAUUGUGUUAAGGUGCUAGACAACAACAAUAACACACACACACACACACACUGCUCCUGCGGUUGUCCCCACUCCCCCUCCCUGGGCCUCCCAUCUCAGUGACAGUGCCUCGCGCUCUCCAGCUGGGAGUCCAGAGGCCCCAGGGCUGCUCUUAGCGGCUUCUCUCUGGCUUCCCCGUUCACUGGAUAACUUCGAAGCACACCAGAAUCCGACCUUGCCUCUCACCUCCCUUAGGACCACUCUGUCCACAGCACCACCAGCACCCUGGCCUGUGUCACUCCAGUAGAGCUCCCUGAGUGCCCCCGUGCCUUCUCCCUGGCCCCCCAGCAGGCUCCUCAGCCCAGAGCAAGGGCCAUCUUUCCUGAGUCCCCUGAGCCCUCCCUGUCCCCUACCCGCCCUGCACAGGGUGGUGGGAGCUUCUGCAGUGCCUGCAGCUGGCCUGGAGCUGUCCCCUCUCCCCCAGGGUCCCCUGCACUUCCCCCCAGCUCCCCUUAUCUGUGGGCAUGAGGCUGGAGGGAUGCUCAGAGAGAGGCCAGUGGUCCUGUAACUGCAGGGUUGUGCUCAGGACAGCUGUAGUCACACAGCAGGGAAGACAAGGGAAACCCUGUGUGACACUGCACAUCCACGACCACAGACCCGCACGUUCCCAGGAGCAGAGAAAAAUAUGGCCCUGUGGUGUCAGCUCAUUAUCACAGCAGAGUGGAAAAGAAGGAAGGGUAAAAAUACUAGCUUUUUCUUUUUCUAUCUUUUAAUGUUUGCUUAUUAAAUUGGGUGCACCUUUACAGUGUAAAAAUAUCCAAUAAAGAAAAACUAAAACAGCUACUAUUUGAAAGGACAAGGCCCGAAACUCAAUAAACAAACAGUAAUUGUUCAUGUGUCUAUCAGAAGACCCAGAUUUCUAUCACAAUGCUCAAAAAAUAGAAAAAAAAGUGACAUGGUUUCAAUCCCGGGUUGAUCUAGGGCGGCUGUGUCGUUCACACAGGAGGAAAAUGAGACCCAGCCCAGGCCCUUGGCAGGACCACAGCAGAAACAUGUGUGUGACAAUAUGCACUCCAGGGGCUAAGCAUGUGCCCAAGCACAGCUGGAUGGUGGCAGAGGUACAUCUCCACCCUGAUCUUCUGACACCAGGCCCAGGGCUCUUUGCCGACAGCACAGGUCGGGAGAAUCCACAGGGGCAUGAGGUCCUCACACACACCGUGCUCUGUCCACUCGGGCAGCACCGUGAUGGUCACGUCCAGGAGCCGGCCGUGUGCUCUUCCUAGAAACCCCAUUUUUUUAAUUUUGGAAUUUGGGGUCUUUGAGGCACACACAUAACGCUUAGACACUGAUUUCCAACACUUGAGACAAGCAGAGCCCACAACCAGAUGUCCCCUCUGGAGCCCACUGCUCUGUCUGAUGCUGGCCACGGCCCCUGCUGUCUGUGUGGGAGGGCUGCCUGGUUUCUGCGUUGAGUCCCUGUCACCUCCCAAGCUCUGAAUGAAGCUUCAGUGAGGCCCCUGCCGCUCCCUCCGUGGAACGUCUGAUGGGCACGUCUCUGGACUCCCCCGACACCUAGCACUUUCCCGC
rnacentral:lncRNA from 1 species